rnacentral:misc_RNA from 1 species
ACGCCUCUGCGCCGCUCGGCUCACCCCAACGCCUCCCAGCACCUCCUCGCCUCUCUUCGACUAGGAACCGCUACCGACUCUCCCUCUCCCCCACCUCAUCCACCAUGGUCAUCAGCAUGGCUUUGAUGGUGCCGCCUCCUCGCCUCUCCUUGUCCCCAGCGCCCUUUCUCCUCUCCCAUUUUCUAAAAAUAGAGGUCUGCACCGCCGUGGAUCCAUUCUUGGCCACCCCGAGCUCUCCCACGCUUCUCCUCUCUCCUUGUCGUCGUCCACCGCCGCCGCCGACCGACCGACCUCUACUCGACGCCCCGGAUGACCCGCCGUAGAAAUGCCAUUCGCCGACCACCGCCGUCUGUCUCUUCUGCUCGACCGACCACUGCCGACCUCUCCUACUCGCUUCGACCACCCGCCGACCCCUCCCCAGCUCGCCGACCUCCCUACACAAGGAAACAAAGAACAGAGGUUGAAGAUGACUCAAAAUUUGUGUUCUACCUAGAGACUACUUUUUAAUUUCGUUUAGAUCCCCUGCAAUAGAUUCUCUAUUUCAAAAAUAUGUAUUUGAGCUCAAAUGAAAUGAUGUUUGUAUUACUAGCUUUGUAAUUGUGAUAAGC